UUUGGAGAAGCGAGUAGUGGUGAAGUGCAGGCGUGACUGACUAGUGAGUUUGUUUUAAGACAAACAUUUCUUUAGGUGGCGGAACGUAGGGAUCCUCAUCCAAUCUUCAAAAAUUGUUCUACAUUCUGUCCAAGUGAGGCAACAAUGCACACGAAGGUUGCGUAAGAAUACUGAGCCAUAUGAGGCGCAAGGGAUUAAGUAGACAGGUGUGACUAAGGCUUCGCAGUAAUGCUGCUCACACUCAGUACAAAAGAACGAGUGAACAUCACAGACGUCC